rnacentral:sRNA from 1 species
UAGAGAGACAGAGAGACAGGAAAUGAUCUCAUGAACUUCCCUGAACUCCUUUGCGUGAGGUCACAAUGCCUUUCAUAUUCAUGGUAACUGUCUCCUAGGUGAAAGGAGGCCAGGGAAGAUGGUCAGCAAGACCUCCUAAGACCUCCUACUUUUAGUCAAAGACCAAGGAAGCAGAGCAGCUACUACAGGCCACAAUAACUUCACAGGAGCUAAGGGAAUCAGGCCAGUAAACUCCAAAUAUUUGACUUCAUCAUGUCAUCUGAUGUAAAGAUCCAGAGGGGUAAAAGUUCAUCAGGGAGGAAGGACUGUAGGAGCCAGAGAGGUCGAGGACAACAGGAGAACACAGCCCAAAGAAUCAAGUAAGUAGGGCUCAUGGGAACUCACAGAGACUGAAUCAAGCACAGGCCCUGUAUUGGUCUGAGCGAGGUCCUCUGCAUACCUUAUGGUGUUCUUGUGGGAUUCUCAACAACGGAAGUGGAGGUGUCUCGGACUCUUUUGCCUGAUCUUGGGACCCUUUCCCUCCUACUGGGUUGCCUGCCCAGCCUUGAUAUGAG